GGUCGUGUGGCCUAAUGGAUAAGGCGCUGGACUUCUAAAUCGUGGUAUUUUAAAGGAACAGUGGAUCACGGUAGCCAUCCAGAGAUUGCGAGUUCGAGUCUCGCCACGAUCA
rnacentral:tRNA from 1 species